UUUCUGCAGCCACACUCCUUUUACAGAAUGAGAUAACAUUUCUCAUUGAUGAUUUCGCAGAUUUCCCCAAAAUAAUAAUAAUAAUAAUAAUAAUCAUAGUAAUGCUAUUCGCACCUGGGUUAUUGCUACUACUACGUUACUCUCUUUCAAUCGCUAUGCAUUUUUUCUUUUCCACCCUUUCCUUGUUUCACAUGUACUAGUACUCUCUCUCUUUCUCUCUCUAACUCUCAAGAGGCAGUGACGAUCGUUUUGGAGUGUGGAUUUCGAUGGAUCGAUUACCGGCGAGAGUAUGCUUGCCGGUGGCGUGGCAUUCGGUGAAAUGGACUAUUUUGUCCUUUUUCUGAUUAAUUGCAGCCAUGCAUGGCGGCGCUUCUCUCCGAUGGCCGAUCUUUAUCUUUUAACCAAAACUGAGCCUCUCAAAGUAGAUGAAACCCUAACGUAAACUGAAGUGAUUAUUUCUUUUAACAUGAAGUUAGAUAGAGUUGUAUGGAAUGAAAGAUGUGAAUUCCUGUUUGGAUUCUAUUCACUCUAUUUUCACUCCCUCAUUCCAUACAUCAUCUAACCAACUUAGUGUUAACUGUUAUUUCUGCUUUCAUUUUCCUUACUAACAGAAAUUAGGGUUCUUGAUAUGCUGAUGUAUGUAUACAUAUUUUUUUUAGUUUAGUUUCUUACUCACAAUUUAGAAUUUAAUAUACUUAGUUCUGGGUGUUAAUUAGCAUUUUCCCCUGAAAUAGUUACCAUUUAUUUUAUUUAUGUUGCUUACAAACUUAAUUUGGUUUCUGAAAAUUUAAUUAGCAUAUUUUUAGUAUGACAUUGAUUACCUUGUAUUGUUGUUAUAUGAGCUUUCAGUUUUAUUUGACUAUGAGUGCCCAACAUGUAAAUUGGGAUUAUGGGAAACUACUGUGAGGUUGCUGCUAGAAACUUUAACAAGGAUAUGGCUAUUAAUGAAUAAAUUUCUAUUUUAUGUAUACAUUUUGUUAAGAUAUGAUUGUGUGGACUAGUGUUGAAUUAUUUAUGCACAAUGGAUUUUAGUUUUUAUCAUGUACAUUGUACUAUUAGGCAGAACUGUUUCUAAUAUUAACAGUAAUUCAAAAUAACUGGAUUGUGGAUCUCAAUUAAGUAUAUAGAGUUUGUAUUUCCUUAUUGAACUAAAUAGUAUAGAUUCUCUCAAUUUCUUUUAUGUGGACCAAAUGUCUUAAAAAUGAAAAGAGGGAAAAAGAGAAACAUUUCUUCUAAAAAAAUGACAUAUUUUCGACAUUAAGUAUUUGUACAUAACUCAAGGACUUAUUCUCACAUAUUUUUAUAAGAGAAAAGGGAUGGUGCAUUAGUUAUGUAAAUUAUUUUUAUUUUAUUAACUAAUGAAAAAUAUGUCUUCCAUCAAAUGAGUCUAUAAAUUAUAAUUUAUAUGAUUUGUUGAGGUUCAGGUUGUUGAAAAAAUGCUGGAGUUAAUAUAGAGAUUGUUAAGGUUUCAUGCUAUUGAAGUUAUUAUUGGGUUAAAUUCUGUUGAGGUUGAAGUCGUUUUUAGAAGCUGCUAUUAUUGAAGAGACUUUGCAUAUUCCAGAAGCUUUGAAUACUGGUAUGACAUACAUAAAUUUGAACUUUAUCCUAGGAGAUGAUUUUGAUUAUUCCACCAAAUACCAUAAAUCACCAACUCCCUCAUCCAAUCCUUUUCCAAAACACAAUUCAUCAUCUGCUGAAAAGUGUACGUGAAAGAGCAGAAGCAUCGUGAAAGUGGAAAAGAGGCAAAAAGGGAAGAGCAAGAGCAGAGGUUGAAGAACGGAAAAGGAUUGAAGCUCAAAGAUUUGCCGGAUUAUCUGAGAUAAAGCGGAGUAGCUAUUGUUGAGGUUUGAAGAAUAAGCGUAGAGUUAUUCUACAGAGUCGAGUCAAAUGCUCUGGUCAUGUGACACCGGGGAUUAUGGGAUUCGAUAGAUAAAUUAUAUUAUUAUUUACAUUGUUAUGAUGACUAUUAUGUUGAGAUGUUUUGUUGAGAUGAUGUUGAACAGUAUUAUGAACGGUUAUAUGGCGAACGUUUAUCGUCGUUUAAGGUUAUGAUGAAUAAGUUGAAUUAAGCUGAAAUUGAAUCCGUAGUUGAGAGUAUUGUGAAAUUCUGAGCGUAUAGCUCUUACGGAGUUAGAAUCGGAGGUCCGGAAGUCCUCCACGGCGGAAAAAUGCGGAAACUCUGCAUUCUGCCUUGUGUUAGCGCAGGAACUGCUGUUUCGUCUGCGUUAACCGGUUAACACUGUUACAAUUUGUGAAUAUGUUGAGUUUUGCCUGCGUUAACCGGUUAACCUAUAGCGUUAACCGGUUAACACUGUUGCGUUUUGCCUGGGGAGGUAUUGUUGUCCUGCGUUAACCGGUUAACGCAUGGUGUUAACCGGUUAACACUGUUCCAGUAUUGAAAAAUGACUAAUUUUUAUGUGGAAAUUGUGAUUUGGCCUAUUGUGGUUGAUUGUGAUGAAUCCAUGUGUUAAGAUGUAAUGUUGUUGUUGUUUUGUUGAGUUGUAUGUCAUGCUAUUAAUGAUAAAGAUAACAUGAUCAUAUGAUGUUGUUGUUGCGAUGUUGAUUAUGAUGCAUGUUUGGUGUGCAUGCAUUCAUGAAAGGCCGAUGCCUAGUGAUGAACGGACUGAGUUCCAAUGAUGUUGUUGACUCCGGGCUUGUUGAGAGGCUUGGUUCCUUAUGGGGAACCCGGAUUCUAUGGUGAUGAAUCUGGGAGUGGUGAUCCUGUAGUGGUCACAAAAUGGGUAUACCGAGUCGUGUUGAGUCAUGCAUGGGUGUGUGCAUUGCAUAUGAUAUGUUGUUUUGUUGAUGUUCAUAAGUAUGUUGAUUAUGAUGAUUAUGAUGAGCUGCGUUGGCAU